GAUGAACGCUGGCGGCGUGCCUAAUACAUGCAAGUCGAGCGAACGGACGAGAAGCUUGCUUCUCUGAUGUUAGCGGCGGACGGGUGAGUAACACGUGGAUAACCUACCUAUUAGACUGGGAUAACUUCGGGAAACCGGAGCUAAUACCGGAUAAUAUUUUGAACCGCAUGGUUCAAAAGUGAAAGACGGCCUUGCUGUCACUUAUAGAUGGAUCCGCGCUGCAUUAGCUAGUUGGUAAGGUAACGGCUUACCAAGGCAACGAUGCAUAGCCGACCUGAGAGGGUGAUCGGCCACACUGGAACUGAGACACGGUCCAGACUCCUACGGGAGGCAGCAGUAGGGAAUCUUCCGCAAUGGGCGAAAGCCUGACGGAGCAACGCCGCGUGAGUGAUGAAGGUCUUCGGAUCGUAAAACUCUGUUAUUAGGGAAGAACAUAUGUGUAAGUAACUGUGCACAUCUUGACGGUACCUAAUCAGAAAGCCACGGCUAACUACGUG
rnacentral:rRNA from 1 species